UUUCUGUCUUUCCUAAACAGCACAUACCCUUCAAUACCUGUAGUCGUCAUGACUACUAUUCCACCAUGUUUCUGUUAUCCCUAUAAUAUCUUUAUGUAUAUAAUACAUAAAGUUAAAAUCCUUAGUGCCAUUUCAAUGUUUCUGGUGUUGAAUUUGAUAAGAGCAAAAGUUCAGUGUGUACAAUUAUAUAUGGUAUAAUGAAUCUCAUUUACUCCAGGAGGAUUGGUAUAAAUACCUAGAGAAUUUGACAUGGCGCUUUUUGCAGACCUGCCAAAAAUCUACAAUUCGCGUUUCUCUUCACAACAGGAAAUAGUUGUGGGGCACAGCCAUUCCAUGGUAUACUGUGAUUUUGUCAGCAACCUUAGGCUGAGCUGGGUUGGAUCUGGCCAGUACUUGGAUGAGAGACUUCCAAAGAGAAUUUAAGGCUUUACAGGAAGUGGUGGCAGACAUUAGGUGCCAAUGCAUUGGCGUCUCAGAAUACGCUCCUGCCGUGGCUAUGAAAGCGCAGAAAAAGAACUGUGAUGUGAUUUGAGAUAUGACCAGUAGAGGGCAGUGUUUCAUAAUUCAGAGCAGAAAGGCUGUCUCAAUGGAAAGCAAAGGUAAGGAGGAAUUUAGGCUACCCCUAUGGUUAUGACACAAGCACUGAAAGCAUCUGCAGGGGUGACGGUUGAGUCUGGCAACGCUCCUGAAGUGGUGAAAGGAAGCCAUCACCACCACUCGAUCCACAAGGGAAUUACAGGGCAAUUUAAAAGUAGAAAAGGACUUCCAGGUUCCCGGCAGCCAGGCCCCUGAAAGGUACUAGGGAAGUGGAGCAGAGGGCAGCCAAAGAUCUGGACAAAGAGGAACCUGAAUGGUUGCGUAUAGGAGGCACAAGUUGGGAGUUUUGUAUUAAUUAAAUGAAACUCAAAUCCUUCCAAACUGACAUGUCGCCUUUUAAAAAUAUAGCUUCUCUUAGCCUGUGUACAUAUUACUUUGCUGUUGGGUUGCUUAUGAGCUCUGGACUGUGUACACUGCUUUGUUGUUGUAGGGUUGUUUGUGAGCAUUCAGCUCCACAAACUGGUCAAAAACAAAACACACCUGAAGACAUUGUACAGCCUUUUCUCAGGGGGCAGGAAGCACAUUGUUACCCUAAUGCAUGAAGGGUCAUCAUCCAUGUAGGAAUCUGGUGCCAAUCAGAAGGCUGCUAGACUUAGAACAAAAGUGGCUUCUACUCCCACUUCCCUAGGGUUCAGUGUCUUGUACUAGAUGGGGGUUUCUUUAAAUAUAUAAUCAUCACAAGUCCUGUUAUUGUGGAGAGCCUCUUGCCCUGGGCUUGGAAGAGGGUCAGCUGGUGUAUGCGCUCUCGUCAGGGGUAUGCGAGAAAAAUCCUGUAAUCCUGUAAUUGUCUUCUCCUUUAUAGACUUUUUUUUUUCUGUUUUAAUAGGUAUAUUAUGACCCUAUCUCAGAUGGGAGUACACGGUAGACUACAUGUUUUAGAAGAGGUACGCAGCUUAAGAAGUUUGAAAACCACUGUCCUAGGAACUACAUUGUGGAGGACAUUCCAGUGCAGAUCAGAUAUUUCUGCCUAUGCUGAUGUGGCUUUUGGUACUGUAUUUGGGGUAUCUCCCUGGCUUCUACGGUUCAUAGCGCUUUGCAAAUAUUUACCCUCACCAAGUCCCCUGGGAGGUAUGACCCCACGACACAGGAAUGGAGAUGUGGUGUGGCCCCCCUGAGCGAAGGCAAACGAGACAUGGGCAUAGCAGAGCUGGGCGGCUAUCUGUACUGUGUAGGAGGCUGUGAUGGGAUGGCACACCUCAGGACUGUGGAAAGGUAUCGGAACCCAUGUGUGGAUGGACAUAACUUUCAUGGACUGUGCUCUGUAGGACCGCCAAUGUCCGAGUUCAUAGUGAACAACUGGGAUUGUUACAGCCACUGAGGUUGCCGUUUUAGCUAGAGAGCUUUUGUUUAAUAUGGAGAGAGGUGUCAAUGUUGACUCGGUGUCCUCCAUAGCCAUGAGGCACCCAGUCUCCACCAAUCAGGGGAGCUGGGACCUGGAGGAUUCUGGUUUGUAAUUCACAAGUUGGCCAGCGGUCUUUUCUCCUGUCCGGGUGCAGAGCAUUGGAGGGGGCAGUUUGGGGGAAACUUGCACUGCCUGUGUCUGAUUGGAACCUGUUCUGUAGACAGAGGGCUUCGAUCUCCUGGGCUCUUCAAUCUGACACUUUUCGCCAGUGCUAAAUUCUCAUGUUUUGAUUUGUGAAAGGGCACGGAUCCACCAGCCAAAGGACAGAGGAGAGCAAACAGGGCUUGUCUGAUAAAGAUUGUGAGUGGAAAUGUGUGUGUCCUGUUCUCAGGGAGCCUUGUAUAGAGAGAGGCUGAAUUCCAGACACCCUGCUUGUAACUUAGCCCAGAAAGAAGCUCUCAUGUGCUGUACCUGGGACGGUCUGGGGCAUUCUCCCGCACUCCUGACUGCCUCCCCCUGGCUUUAGGUAUGAUCCUCGUGGGAACAGGUGGUGCAAGAUGGCACCUAUGACCUGCCAUAGGGAUGGCAGUGCUAGACGGCUACCCCUAUGCUAUCAGUGGCUUGGAUGGCCAGUCUCCACUGUAUGCAGUGGAACGUUACAAUCCGGAGAAGGAUUGUUCUCCUUGCCCUCCUUUGGGCACCUGCAGAGAGAAUUUUGGCUGUGCUAUGCUUCAAGGGAAAAUCUACGCUGUUGGUGGCCACGAUAACUUCACGGAUCUCUGCAGUGCUGAGUGGUUUGAUCCAGUCAUCAAUGAAUGGUCACCGAUGAUGCCUAUGAAAUCAAAGAGGAAUAAGGUGAAAGCUGUUGCAGCCAAUGGAUACCUACUGGCCAUCGGGGGGGCUUGAUGGUGUGACUCAUGUGACCACCGUGGAAGCAUUUGACCUGGAUGCCAACAAGUGGAGGACAGACGUACAAUCACCUUGACAUCACGUUGACUGUGAUAAGAGUUUUCAACACAGUGAUAACACACAGCUGAAAAGUAUGUUUCAGGUGAGGGACUUUAUAACCAAUUUGGGAAUAUCAGACAGGAGCCACGUAUUUAAAUAGCUGCCCAGAACAAAUAAUGGCAAGGAGAGAAUGCAAAGUUGUCUCUGAAGGCCCAGAUCCUCAGUUGCUGUGAACAGUCAUGGCUCCAUUGACCUGACCUGAGGUUUGUCACUUUACGCAGGUUGCGGAUCUGGCCCAUAGUUUCUUGAAUAGAGACGCUCUGUAAUAUCCUACAGCCUCUUCUUGUUGCAGACCCUUUGAAAAUACCAAGACCAGUCAUCCUGGUGGAGGUGUGGCUGUGCUGAAAACGACCAUCUAGGAGCUGAGAACUUUCCAACCAUCCUGUACUGCACUGAACACUAAUGAUGAAGUAUGGUUUUGUGGGAUGGUAGUGUAAGCAGGAGAGGAGGAAAGAGAGCAGCAGAGUGGAUAAGAUGGGGAAUGGGAUGGUGCCUUCAAUGAGUGAGUUAAUCCUUUUGUGCUUAGGGGAAUUCCAUAAGACAUGGGGAGUUUAUGCAUGGGGAUUGUAGAGCACAAGAUCAUCUUGAGCUUCCAUUUAAAGAGUUCAUGCUUUGAUCAUCAUGCCAGGAUGUAGUGGUACAUUGCAAAAACAACAACUAUCUCCUCAUGUAUGGAAUGUAGCUGUUUGGUUGGAAGAAGAGCCAUGUAGUUAAAGCUCUGGACUUGGUCCUCAAGUUCUGGGCUUGGUUCCCAGCUCUGCCACAAAUUUGUGUGAUCUCGGUCAAGUUACUUAAUUUCUCUUCAGCAUCUGGUAUGUUGAACCCCUGAUCUUGGCAUGGGCCUCUUGGUGCUACUGUGAUACAGCUAAUAAAUAAUACCGACUGGAGCUCUUCAAGAGCCCCCCCACUCACUCUCCUCUUCUGUUUAAUUUUUAGCAAGGAAAAAUGCCCCCUCAUACUUUUUAUACAAACAACUAUUUAACAUGCUUGGCUUUAUUAUGGUACAAUGCUAUUCUGAUUCCACGGAGAGCCAGAUUUUUUUAAAAGCAGGGAGAUGUUUCAGGAACAAAAACCUAAUGUAUCACUACCAAUGUGUGCUAAUAUCUAUCCAUCUCUCUAUACGGGUCCCUGCCAGGUGGGGGCUACUGGAUAAUGUGUAGCAGGGGGAAGCUCACCUUGUGGUAUUGGCAUAGCAUCGAACUGGUGCUGGGACAGCAGCAGAAGUUAUUCUCCCUGCAGAAAAUCUCUACCUGCUUCACAGUCACUUUCACGAAUGUGAUUAACCUGACUGAAUGCUCCGGGCUGCUGUCCAGGCAUGGAGUAUAACUUUGAGGAAACAAAUCUUCCUCUCUCAGGAGAAAUACAAGCUUCCUGUCCCCCAUUCUCCUUCAUCAACAACCUGCAGUUGAACAUUGCUCUGCUGGGAAGAGCUUGUGAACCAGCUGCAGGUAUUUCAUGGUCAUCGCCAAUGCAAAGCCAAGUCACCCUUUCAUCCAUCAACCAGGGGAAGAAGUUUGUGGAGGUGCUCGCAGCUGACAGCGUUCAUUUCCUAAUGCAGACCACAUGCAAGAUGUACUUACAACAAUCUCCCUGCCACUACUCUUUUUCCACUUAGCAGGGGAUUCAGGCCAGGAAAGCAUUACUUGGACAUGUACAGCCUGCUUCUCAAUUGUCAAGAGAGAACAUGUUUAUCCGUAAUAUACAACAUCUCAUAACUUUAGCCACACUGCUGCUAAUUGCCAUUUAUGUCCAGCUGGGCUGACUGUUUUUAUAGCCUAGUGUAACAACCAGCCCUUCCUGAGGGUGUUUUUCAAAGUCAGCGAAAUAGCAGGAUAACCAUGGUCAGCAAGACAAUGGCUCCCUGCCCUCUGGGCCUCCAGUAGGGCCAAUGUGCUGUUAAUCACUUUGGUUUUUAAUUAAAGGC